UUCGAGCCCCGCGUCGGGCUCUGUGCUGACAGCUCAGAGCCCGGAGCCUGCUUCGGAUUCUGUGUCUCCCUCUCCCUGUUCCUGCCCCACUGGCACUCCAUCUCUCUCGCUUUCAAAAAUAAAGAUUAAAAAAUAAAUAAAUAAAUAUAAAAUAAAAAUAAAACGGCUAAUUUUAUGUGGGGUAGAUUUCACCUGAAUUUAACAAAAAAAAAGCUACUGCAGGCUCAUGGUUUGUAUGGUGAGUAAAAAUGGAAGAAGCGUGGCCACUGAGGACCGCUGCUGGCAGGGGGCCUCCGGCAGGUGUUGGUGUCCGUGUUCCUGGCCGGGAUGCUGUCCUGCACCUGCCAGUCUCUCCCUGGGGACCGGCGCUUUGUUGACCCGGCUGCCCACCAGGAAGGCAGGAUUCCCCACGCUUUCUCCACGCAGAGGCCGCACCUGGCCACUGAGGGCGUCGGCACGGAUGGAACCGGGAACUCACUUUCCCUUUUUAAUGGUAUUCCUGCCCAGCAGCGGGUCCAGCACGGGGUCCACGGUUUCGCCAAUGUUCUCGAUGAGCAAGGUGUGCCCUUCGGAAAUGGCCUGCUCGAUGAUGUCCAGGUAGCUGCGGGACGACACGGGGGGCAUUUAAUGCGGGGGGCUCAGUGACAGCACCGCUGGGUGCCCCAGGGACAGCUGUCAGAGCAAGAAGGCACCUAAAGACGAGCGGCCGAGGGGCCGGCAGUGCAUGCCCUCUGCGACCCGCCUUCCCCGAGGGGCGCUCCCCUCCGGGCCUAUGGGAGCACAGCUCUGUUCUCACUUCUGUGUGUGGCUCCACGUCCCCAGUGCUCCAGGAAGGCGCACGGGGUGGCCUUAGUGACCGUCUGUAGCAAGGAAGCCAGCCCCGCUGGAGAUAAGAAAUGAGAAAAUGACCAGCCGGAAGCCUCUUGGCCAGCACACGGCCGGGCGGGACGCAGCCCGGGCUGGAGCCCAGCUGGGCGUCCACGAUGAGGGGCCAGCGCUCUGUGUUGCACAGGAUGGUGGCAUUCUCAGUGGACAUGCGGUCACUGGGGAGACCCUGGUUGUUCCAAGUGGCCACGUCCGCGUCAUCGGUCAGUAGGCUCAAGGGGUCCAGACCUUCCGUGAUCGGGAUGGGGACCUGCCGGGGGGGAGCACUAGUCCUCAGAAGAGGUGAUGUGGCCUUACUGCCCCGCGGGAAACAGCUCUCCAAGUGACACGGUAGGUCUGUGGUUAGACCACGGACGAGCCAUGUCGUCUGGAAGACAGCCAAGCGACGGACAGAGCCCCUGGGAACCCGCCAAGAAGGGCAGCAGCAUGCUGGGCCACGAUGUAUUUAUUUUAGAGCGAGGGCACCAGCAGGUGCACAUGUAAGCCAGCAGGGGCAGAGAGCGAGAGAGAGAGAGAGUCCCGGGCAGGCUCCACACUCGUGGCAGAGCCUGACAUGGGGCUCAGUCCCACGACCCUGGGAUCAUGACCUGCGGCUGAAACCAAGAGUCAGAUGCUCAACCAGCUGAGUCACCCAGGAGUCUCUGGGCCACAGUUGAAACCCGCAAUGGCCAGAGCGUCCCUCGUUGCGGUAUUUCUUGGUGAAGUAGCCCAUGUAGGAGACGAAGGCGGAAAUCAGCAGGACGUCCCCGCACAGGGUGACCCCCUGGCUUUUGAAGUUCUUCACCGACUCAGCCCAGCGGAUGUUUUCCGAUGCCAAUCCCCCUACUAGCCUGAAUGGAAACACGAGGUGGCAACCAGAACACAUAAAAUGAUGGGUGUGGCCCCAGUCCCUUUGGACAGCCCUGCUCUGGAAGCCCCGGAAGCCGGCGCCCACACCACGGGCGCUUCUCAUGCGCCUCUGCCAGCUCGGCAUUCGCCUCCUCUAGGGCCUGCCUCUUGGGGGCCACGUCACAAUACACCUCGUAGAAGCGCACGAUGUUGAUGCACCAGGAGCACAGGCCCGCGGCGGCCGUGGACUUGGAGCGGAUGAACUCGGGGUCGAAGGUCGGGUUGCCUUGGUAGGGCCUGGAGGGGGAGCAGGUGUGGGCUCUGCAGGCCUCAGGCCUCCCCUGCGUCUGUCCCUCCGGCCCUCAGCUGGCCCCUGACCGCGGAGCACAGGCAAUUACCGGGGAGCACGGUGAAUCGGUUUUUUUUUUGGGGGGGGGGGCAUGGUGGGGAAGGGUCUUCAAGAAGAAGAAAAAAGUGAAACACUGAAGUCUGGCCCCAGAAGUGGUUUGGGGUGUGAGGGGGCACAGAGGCACUUUAGACCCUUCUGGAAACCAGUAUUUUAAGAAGUGACAGCGACGUCGUUAAGCGUAACAGACUGAACUCCCUGCAGAAAGGCUCUCGAAUGGGUUAAUUCAAAAUAGAACCGACGAGCAAUUUGGACGUCGGCCGGGAGUACAGCCGGCCAUCCCCGCCCUCGGUUUACUUCGUGUUUCCUCUAGGUUGAUGUUGCAACAGGUUUAUGUGUUUAGACACCCGUCGGGGGCCGCGGCCGUCAGGGAGCUGGCAGAACGGAGACGGCCUGAAUCUUCCGCAGUUUGGGACCAGUUAGGGAAAUUACACUCUGCCUGCCGCCGAGGCCGUCCGGCGGUUAGAGGAGAGCCCGAUGAACCGGCAAGAAAACGUGUUCUCCGGUCAGCGCCAGGAGCCCCGCGAUCUCUGCACACACACAGGCAUCUCGACCGUGGGGGAGCCGGCGCCAGCGAGGAGGCUGAGCGCGCGUCCACCUCCCGGUGGUGGAGGCCCCUUGGCGGCAUUUGGUUUGCUCCCCCCGCCCGCCCCUCAGCAACACGGCCAGCCCGCCGGGUCUGCCCCUCCAGGUGUGGCGCAUUUACGGUGACAACAGCGGGAAGCAGAAAGCACGCACGACAGGGCCCGAGUCAGCGGAUGCACACGGCACGCGUGUGUGCGUGCGUGCGUAUGUGUGUGUGCAACUGCUCUCGCCUCUAGGGGCCCUGGUGGCGUUUCUCGUGGUCCUGUGGGCUGUGUGACGGGUUGUUAGACCCUCCCAUGCGCUGUUGUGGAUUUUGAGCCACGGGCCUUUCCGCCUGCACUGACCCCUUCUGGUGGGGAAGGAAGAGGGUGCUGAGGUGCCCCAGGACCUGCGUGCGGCCAGGUUUCCCCAGGCCGCCCCCCGCCAGCUCCGGGGGCCCACCUUGCUGCACACGGCCUGAGGCCCUGCCCCACCCCAGCCGGCACAGCCUUCCCCUGGGAACAGGUCUCUGGCCGGGGCGGGCGGGAGGGGACCCGGGGGACCCUGGCACCACUCUGCUGAGCUGGGCGGUGCGGUCGAGCCUGACUCACUUAAACGCCUUCAGGCAGGCCUCGGGGAUGUGCUCCUUGUCAAACUUCUUCAAGGAGUCCAGGAACGUGUCCACUUUGCCCAUCAUGAUUUUGGCCGCUUUCCAGCUCUUGUCCUUGGGGAUCUUGCCCCCCGGCGCGGUCAGGAUCAUGACGGCGGCCGUGACGUUGACUACGGCGUCCGGGGGUGACCCGAAGGACUUCAGCUCGGUCAGGUUGUUCUGAAAAUGACAGAUGGGGAGCACCUGAAAGGGGCCCGCAGGCCCCGGGACCACCCUGGGAAGCUUCCACAAGCCUGUGGCCGCUUGCACACACACACCACGGCUUUCUCCUCCACUUUGGCUUGUCCGUUUCUUGCUCCUUCCCUUCCCGCACCUUAUUCAGCGUGUCGAGAGCUUCCUGCGCGGCCAGCAGGGCCGGCUCCGCCUUGGCCAGGUCCGUUUCACAUGCCUUUUGUUUCUCUGUGACAUUCUGGAAGGAAGCCACGCGGGAAAGAUCAGCGCAGGGAUUGGUGGGGGCUGCGUGUGAGAGUGUGUGUGUGGGUGUGUGUGUGUAGCCCUGGGCAGCAGCGAGAGCACGGACGGAAGUGAGGAGGGUGCUGUGCCCCGUGCUCCCCUUCAUGCCCGGGAGGUCACUGGUCACCGCCUGGAGCCCGCCUUUCUCCUCUCCGCCCCUCUGCCCCUGCCCCUCAACAGGUUGGAAUGAGCCAUGGGGGUGGCGGACUUGGGGUUCUGGAAUGGCCCCCGCUUCCGGGACUGACAGCGGUUAAUGUCCGGCACCCACCCCUCUCCAGCCCCUGCAUCCAGAAACAGCUCCCGCGAGGGUGCUCUGGGGAGGAAGGCCCGGGUGCUAUCCCUGGGGCAGCCUGCCCAGCCAGCACCUUCCACGCCCGUUCCUGUGGUCGUGCCCCACGGUGUUCUUAAAGUCAGGGGCAGGAUGCACUCUCCACGGGGUGCCUUGCAGAGAGACUCUCUCCUUUCUGUCCUCGUCCUCUGCACCCAGAAAAGCCCCCAGCCCCUACUGGCUCCUUCCUGAUGGACACCACGCGGCUACUGGUCUCUGUGCUCGGCACCCAGAGACUCGGAGGGGUUCUUCCCGAUCCGAGGAGCGAACGCACAGGUCCCUGGCAUCUUGUUAAAAUGCAGACCUGAUUCAGCGGAGCUGGGCCGGGGCCCGAGAACCUGCGUCUCUUACCAGCUCCUGGAAAUGCCACCAAGGUGGCCUGGGGACAGAUGGCACGGCUCCAAGAGGAGACGGCCCUCCUCUGAGCUGGGAGAGAUGCCCCCUCAGGGGGCUUCCUGCAGGUCUGGGAGCCCUCCCGGCCUUUGCCUGGGCCCAUGGGAGAUACUGACCACUCAGGGGAGGCCUGGCCUGGCAUAGCCAUGAGCCACAGCCCACGGAGGCCCCGCGUGUCUGCACACCUUGUUGAUGACCUCCACCUUGGCCUCCUCCUCGUCCGCAAUGGCUUUCUCUUUGCUGACCUUCUCAGUUUCCACACCCACCACCUGGAUCAGCUUGUCGGCAUUCUCGUUUUUCUGCUUGAGCUCAGCCUCCUGAAUCGCCAGCUUGGCUUUUAAGUCAUCCACCUCGGGGAGGAGACGCCAAGAGACGGGUGAGCUUGGGCCCCGGGGCCACGACACAGAGCGGGAGGGGGUGCGGGGAGGCAGUAAGUGAUAGGGUGGCCUCAGUGCAGGGCGUCCUGGAACAGGCACGUCACGGACGCGCCAGACUGGACGCACGAAUCCCGCCCGGCUCGGCCGACGCGAAGCACCCAACGUAACGUCAGCACUGCGAAAGCAUUUUGAACCCGU